GGUGCCCUCCCUCCGCUUCUGCAGUCAGGGAUGAAACCCAGAUCUCGUGUGCGCUAAGCAAGUGCUUGGCCGCCGACCUGCACCCCCGCCUGUAUCCCAUUGCUGUCUAUUUCCACUAAUCAGGCUUCACCGUGGCGACGAUGGCUCUGGAGUCACCAUCGGCUGCUCUGCACUGCCAUCAUCUCCUCUCACGGAGCAGGCUCUGUGAUUCACAUUCCAGUCCAGAGGCAGGUCAGGUGCGUUCCAGGAUGUGUGUGGGGCCAGCCUAUGAGGGGCAGGGGCUCAGCUCCUGUGUGCACGUGCACAAAGGCACAACUCAAGCUCUAGGCAGAGAUGGCUGGCGUGGGGUCUUAGGCACUUUCCUCUCGCCAGGACACAAUACUUGACACCCAUGACGUAAAGGAGGGGCUCACUUUGGUUCAUGUUUUCAGUCCACGGGCACCAGCUCCAAGGCAAGACAGAGGGACCUGGUGAAGGAGAACUGCCAUGGAGCCUGGGAAGCAGAGAGAGAUCAAGGUGCCAGGAGAGCGGACAAGGCUUUCCAAGCCCCAUGACCUGCUCUCUUCUUCUGACCAGACCCCUCCAAUACUACAUUUAUAAACUCACUGGCAGCCUGAUCCAGUGAUCAGAUAGCACUUCCAUGGCCCAGUCACUCUCUAAGGCCCCAGCUGUGCAACAGACAGCUUCGGGGGAAUCCAGAUGUGAACCCUAACACACAAUGUAGGUGAACUCUUCAGGCCUGAGCUGCAUCCUCUAUGAUCCAGUCCAGAGCCCACCCUGGUGCAGAGCACUGGCAGAAAUCAGAGAAUCCCACUGAAUUCCAUGGUAGAGGACGUCAGGCUUGGUGGACAAA